AUGGUGUUCUUCCUGAAAUCUGCAGUGAGAUUCCUCUUAUCUUCAGCAGAAGCAGGCACUGUCUGACCAGGCCAGAUGUGAGCUUGAAAUUCUUCUAAUGAAAAAGGUCUAAGUGUAGUGUACUGGGGAGAUCCUCGUUAAUAACCAUUGAGGAGGUUGAUGGUUCCCUCGAAAAGGUUAAUGGUUUGGAGUUACCCAUUCAAAAAAAGAAAGGAAAAAAAAGUCUGAUCAAUGUGAGAACAAAUUAAAAAUGAAGACUCUCUGAUGGCACAGGAGAGCAGAAUAUUACAUUCAAGGGGACAACUACCCCUCAGAAGAAAUGUCAACAACUCCAGUGGCAGCAACUUCAAAAGGAAAAUCUUCUCGUGUUCAGAUGUACUCUUCACAAGCAACAUCAAGAAAUAGCUAACACUAAGCUGGGCAUUAUCAAGCAGAUGAAGCUGCAGAGAUGGCAAGGCGUCCCCGAAACAGCCACUUGAGAACUGCUUGAUUUCUUCUGCUGGGUGUCUUGGCUGGGUUUAAGGAACCACAAACCUUUCCUCCCCCUUGUCAUUCAGACCUCAAAACAGAAACCAGGAAGAUAUCAGGGAGAAUCAAGAAAUCAGAGACAGAUCUGUGUUGGUGCUAACCUUUGAAACUGGUGGGAACUGCAAUUAUGCCACCUUCCUGUCCUUGCCUCCUGCU